UGGGGAAUAUUGGACAAUGGGGGAAACCCUGAUCCAGCGACGCCGCGUGUGUGAAGAAGGCCUGCGGGUUGUAAAGCACUUUUAGUGGGGAUGAAAAGCACAGGGCUAAUACCCAUGUGUCUUGACCUAACCCAAAGAAAAAGCACCGGCUAACUCUGUGCCAGCAGCCGCGGUAAUACAGAGGGUGCGAGCGUUAAUCGGAAUUACUGGGCGUAAAGCGUGCGUAGACGGUUGUUUAAGUCAGAUGUGAAAGCCCCGGGCUCAACCUGGGAAUUGCAUUUGAGACUGAACAGCUAGGGUGCGGAAGAGGGAAGCGGAAUUUCCGGUGUAGCAGUGAAAUGCGUAGAUAUCGGAAGGAACAUCAGUGGCGAAAGCGGCUUCCUGGUCCAGCACCGACGUUCAGGCACGAAAGCGUGGGGAGCAAACAG
rnacentral:rRNA from 1 species